GCUGAAGUAUACAUAUAUUGUUUUGAGAAAAUUCAUUAUCACUACAGUCUCAGAUCUUUCAUCGUCGAAAAAAGACUGGAAUAAUGUAGAUUAUCGGCCGAUUUCCGAUCAAGUCACUAGAAUAUAAUCGCAUGAUCCAGCGCGACUCAAUUAACAUAAUCUCAGCUCAAGAGCUUUUUCACAUAGCGAUAUGCGUCUAACAAUAAGAUACUCGAUGCUAAUACGAUACAGUAUCUGACUAAUGUCGUAAAUAGAUAUCAUUUAUUUGUUUUUCGGUUGGUAACAACUUCUAGUCUGCAAAACAACACACAUUUGUUAGCAAAGGCUGUCGCGAGCAAAUGCUGAAGUAAAAGAUUACCCACUUGGUUUAUACAGAAAAGAGCUAGUAAAAAAAUGAAAGCAAGUAGGAAAUAUUGGAUUCAUCCAACAAGAUGAAUAGAACAAAGGACUUGUUCAAUUAAUACGAAUUUAGAAGGAAAGAAGAAGAAUUUCUCAUUCGCUAUUUUAACAACUUUGUAGCAACUCUAGUGACACGCCUAAAGCAGAGACUAGGUCUCUUCUCUUUGAAGCAAUAAUUAAUACUAUUUCUGUUAAACAAACCAAACCAUUCAAAAUUAAAUUUCACCAGUAUGUUCUACAUACUUUUUACAUUCUAAUAGAAUGCAGAAAAAAUAAUAAGAGAAAAAACAUUAUACAUACUAACAAAGAUUCACAAACGCUUUAUAAAAAGAGCUAUAAGAAAAAUAUGGAACCUAAAGAGAAUAGGCGAACGUUAUCAUAAAAGAUUGAUUAGUCGGGGAGAACACAUUGUUUGACCCGCAAGAUCACCUGGUCCUGCAUCAUUAGACUCUUAUCUAUGGGCAACAACGAAAGAGAUUGUGUGGAGAGUCGUGCGAGAGACAAUUUACGACAAGAAUUGGUAGAAAGGAUUAAUAGUCAUUCACUGAACUAAAACAAGAUAAACGUAAUAAUCGGAGAGUGAUAAACUCAAACUUCGUAUGAUGCUUGUACUCGAAACGGGAGACUGCACUUUGAAAUAAAAACAUAAAGCAAUGUUUUUUUCAAUGUAAUAAAGCAUGAUUAUAAAGC